rnacentral:rRNA from 1 species
AUUGAACGCUGGCGGCAGGCCUAACACAUGCAAGUCGAGCGGUAGCACAGAGAGCUUGCUCUCGGGUGACGAGCGGCGGACGGGUGAGUAAUGUCUGGGAAACUGCCUGAUGGAGGGGGAUAACUACUGGAAACGGUAGCUAAUACCGCAUAACGUCGCAAGACCAAAGUGGGGGACCUUCGGGCCUCAUGCCAUCAGAUGUGCCCAGAUGGGAUUAGCUAGUAGGUGGGGUAAUGGCUCACCUAGGCGACGAUCCCUAGCUGGUCUGAGAGGAUGACCAGCCACACUGGAACUGCAACACGGUCCAGACUCCUACGGGAGGCAGCAGUGGGGAAUAUUGCACAAUGGGCGCAAGCCUGAUGCAGCCAUGCCGCGUGUAUGAAGAAGGCCUUCGGGUUGUAAAGUACUUUCAGCGAGGAGGAAGGCGUUAAGGUUAAUAACCUUGGCGAUUGACGUUACUCGCAGAAGAAGCACCGGCUAACUCCGUGCCAGCCGCCGCCGUAACAC